UUUAUGAACCCAAUCCUUACAUCUUCCCAUACUUAGAAAACACUAAAAGCAUUCAGAUUUUUGUGCCUUGUGACCAGCAGUAACUUGUACCAAGAUGUGUGCUUGACUGCACCUGUCCCUUCUCCAAAAUCACAGGAGCAGGGCUUCCCUGGUGGCGCAGUGGUUGAGAGUCCGCCUGCCGAUGCAGGGGACACGGGUUCGUGCCCCGGUCCGGGAAGAUCCCACAUGCCGCGGAGCUGCUGGGCCCGUGAGCCAUGGCCGCUGAGCCUGCGCGUCCGGAGCCUGUGCUCCGCAACGGGAGAGGCCGCAACGAUACUGAAACCCCCAGGUGGAAUAAGUUAACUACCUGAUGACCAGGCUGUAGCCAUGACAUAAGCUGCCACCAUUCUGAGGACCGGCCUCAAAGAAAUGGGAACAAACUGACCCUGGAACUAAAGACUAACUGCAUUUAAAGCAAUCGAGAUGACGCUGGUCAGACCACUGCAUGACUGAUUUCAAGAGGCCUGUGAGAGCUGACUGUGACUGUGCUGUUUCUGCAGAUUACAUAAUGAAAAUGCCUGUUAGCCUUCAGCUGGACGUGUUUUUUCCUAAUUAGUCAACUCUGCACACUUGGCUUCACCUACAAUGGAUGAGCACCUUUGGUGUGCAAGGCCUUC